rnacentral:rRNA from 2 species
AGUCGAACGAUGAAACUUAGUAGACUUCUUCGGAAAGACACUAAGCGGAUUAGUGGCGAACGGGUGAGUAACGCGUGAGUAACCUGCCUUACACAAGGGGAUAGCCUUUGGAAACGAAGAAUAAUACCCUAUAAAACCAUAAAAGCACAUGCUAGAAUGGUCAAAGUGAUAGCGGUGUAAGAUGGACUUGCGUCUGAUUAGCUAGUUGGUGAGAUAAAAGCUCACCAAGGCAACGAUCAGUAGCCGGCUUGAGAGAGUGUACGGCCACAUUGGGACUGAGACACGGCCCAGACUCCUACGGGAGGCAGCAGUGGGGAAUUUUGCACAAUGGGGGAAACCCUGAUGCAGCGACGCCGCGUGAUUUAGAAGGCCUUCGGGUUGUAAAAAUCUUUUGUAUAGGAAGAAAAUGACAGUACUAUACGAAUAAGGUCCGGCUAAUUACGUGCCAGCAGCCGCGGUAAUACGUAAGGACCGAGCGUUGUCCGGAAUCAUUGGGCGUAAAGGGUACAUAGGCGGCUAGAAGAGUUAGAAGUCAAAGGCUAUAGCUCAACUAUAGUAAGCUUCUAAAACUAUUUAGCUUGAGAAAUGGAAGGGAAAGUGGAAUUCCUAGUGUAGCGGUGGAAUGCGCAGAUAUUAGGAAGAAUACCGGUGGCGAAGGCGACUUUCUGGCCAUUAUCUGACGC